rnacentral:rRNA from 1 species
CCUACGGGUGGCAGCAGUGGGGGAUAUUGCACAAUGGGGGAAACCCUGAUGCAGCGACGCCGCGUGUGGGAAGACGGUCCUCUGGAUUGUAACCCACUGUCCCCAGGGACGAAGAUGACGGUACCUGGGGAGGAAGCCCCGGCUUACUACGUGCCAGCAGCCGCGGUAAUACGUAGGGAGCAAGCGUUUUCCGGAAUUACUGGGUGUAAAGGGAGCGUAGGCGGGAUGGCAAGUUGGGUGUUAAAUCUACCGGCUCAACUGGUAGUCGCACGCGAAACUGCUAUUCUUGAGUGAAGGAGAGGCAGGCGGAAUUCCUAGUGUAGCGGUGAAAUGCGUAGAUAUUAGGAGGAACACCAGUGGCGAAGGCGGCCUGCUGGGCUUUUACUGACGCUGAGGCUCGAAAGUGUGGGGAGCAAACAGGAUUAGAUACCCUUGUAGUC